rnacentral:lncRNA from 10 species
UGAGAAAUAGCAUAGAACAAGGAAAAGGGAAUAAUACACGUAGGGAUCAGACAAGUUCCUGGUUUCUGCAGCCAGCCCAUUUUCAUUCUAUUUUUCUAGAGUAGAAGGUAGUGCACUCACCCAGAGCUCCUUAAAAGGCAUCUUACUCAUUUCACCUUUGUCAACAGAAGGAAGAAGGAAAGGAGAAAGAAAGCGAAGGAUAAAGACAAAAGAGAAGGAAGAAAGAAAAAAAUUAAAAAGCAAGCAUGUUAGUGAAGACAGGUGGGGAAACUGUCACCCCCAUCCCCCUUUUAAAACAAUCUCCACCUACUCAGGAUCUGGAGGACGUGUGCCUAUAAAUGACCACUUUCAAAUGAAGGAAGUUCCAAGUUACAAUUAAUGAACAGUACAAACCACUUUGCAGUGUUGUCACACAUGACAUAUAAAAGGUUGUGAUACUAACAAAGUGAUCGCACUAUGUGGAAUGCCCUGGAAGAGAAAGAGGAAAGAAACAGUCAAGACGUCAGGAAUCAGAAAUGAAUGCAGAUGGGAACAUUACUCAUAUUAACUCAGUGACACUUGAGAAGCCCAACCACUUGAGCUCCAUCUAGUCAGCUAAAGGAGCAGAAGAUAACAAAUAUAGAAAGAAAAGAACUUUAAUACUUACAUGUCUGAGAACACUGCCCUCCCCCACUAAACUGGGAGCAUCUCCAAGGUAGUGGCCGUUGAAAAAAAUCUCUUCUGAAGCUUCUAGCACAGCAUCUUACACGUAGUAGGUCUUCCACAGAUGCUUGGGAAUGAGCAAAUGGUUAAAUGUAGACUACAAAAUGCCCAGAAAUUCAGCAUAGUAACCUAACAGUUGUUGAAAAAAUAGAGGAAAUCACGUUCUAAUUUCAUAAGUGCAACUUAAGCAAACCUACUAACAAAGGUAACCUAUGUUAGGGCCUUGGAGCCCUCUCCUUUAGAAGUCAAUUUCCACAGUCCCCCAGUCGGGGAGGGCACAGUGUGGAGCUGACAAUAGCUGCUCCUCUCUCCUCCCUACUCAUGUCUACUUCUCAGGAAAUCAAAGAUCUGUGCAGCUGCUUAGGCCACCCUGAGCAUAAUUCAUGUUGGUUUAGGAUUUAGGCUUAUAAGAUUAGACUGAUGAUCAUAAACCUUGCCCAUUAUAAAAUUCUAAAAUCAUUAUUAAUUUUAAAAUGAGUAUAAAACCUUGGGCAAAACCAAUAACAAAUGCCUGCCAACUCUAAGACCAAGAAGAAGCCUAAAUCCUAUCUAAUUUGGAGAGCUCAGGCUGGAGCGGAUUAUGGAGAGAGGCUAAGGAUGCUCCCUCCCUGGACAGGAUGAGGAUGAGGAUGAGGAGGACAGCAUCACUGCUUCUGCCGAAAGCCAAGGACUGGUAAGGAUCCUCCGGGCAGCUCUCUGGUCUGCAGCCUGAAGAGAGGACUGGGGGAACUACUGUAGAAUCAAUACUACCAGGCUGAGGAAUGCCCAAGGGAAAAAAGGAGCUGGGACCAAGGACAGAACCCAGAGAGAUGACGGCUCUGUGACCCUGCUUAGUUACGGGCCUUGCGAUGGCUGCUUGCUUUUCAUAGAGUGAAAGGUAAGAAAUGGAAGAAAGUCAUACAUUGGCAUUCCAAGGAUGAGGAAUAUAAUCAAAUACGAAAGUUGCUUCCAACAAGAUGGAAUGUGAAUUUGCCCAUGCAGACAAACAAUCCAGUGCUGGCACACAGAGCAAGAUGCAGAAAUGAAGGGGAGGAGAGGCCAGUCUCAACUAGGGGUCUGUGAUUUACAACUGAAGUUCAAAGUGAUGGUAAUACCAUGUUUUUACUUUUUAAAUGGUUUUAUCCUAUUUUUCUAGCCCAUAAGGAAUGCACCUUGGUGUCAACAAAACCCCUUGGUCUUUGUAAGCUGUUUUGAAGCAAAAUAUCAGUAAAUUACUUCCCAAACCACCACACAACUAGAUCACGCUGAGAAAAUGGGGGCUCUGCAAGAAUGCAGUCAAUUGUUUCUGUCACAGAAGAAAAUACAACCAGUAGAAAUCGUUAUGGAUGAGUCAUUAUGAGAAGGGGCCAAAAAAAUUAACCUUCAUCCGUUUUCUUUGUCUUUGCGCAUGUAAGAGAGGUGGGGGUGUAUGUGUAUGUGUUUAUUUGAAUUCACCAGCCACAUUUAGAACCGGAGCUGGGAAGGAUUUUAGAGAGAAGCCAGGCCAGCCCCUUUGCUGACGACAGUGGAGGACGGGGAGGAAGAGAAAGAGCUGACUCCAGAAAUGAUAUUGCUGAGAAGAUACUUAGUAUGAUCGAAGGACAAGUGGCUCUGUGAUUAAAGGAAGAGAGAGAAGAAAACUUUUAUUCUAAAAUAUUUAUUGACGUUUAUGAAGUAGCACCAA